AUGCAUGUCUAAGUACAAACCUUCAAACGGUGAAACCGCGAAUGGCUCAUUAAAUCAGCUAUGGUUCCUUGGAUCGUACAUACUACAUGGAUAACUGUAGUAAUUCUAGAGCUAAUACAUGCCACUAUGCCCUGACCCGCAAGGGAACGGGUGGAUUUAUUAGAACAGAACCAACCGGCGGUGACUUCGGUUGCUGUCGUUGCAUUCUGUGAUGACUCUGGAUAACUUUACUGAUCGCAGUCGGCCUUGUGUCGGCGACGGAUCUUUCAAAUGUCUGCCCUAUCAAUUUUCGAUGGUAGGUGACCUGCCUACCAUGGUGAUAACGGGUAACGGGGAAUCAGGGUUCGAUUCCGGAGAGGGAGCCUGAGAAAUGGCUACCACAUCCAAGGACA
rnacentral:rRNA from 1 species